AAAGGGAGACCUAACUCAGGUAAAAGACGAAAAAAAAGUAGUCGCUACCAAGAAUCAAUCCCAAAAGGUCGGAGCGAGGCGAAAUUGGCUUUCAAACUAGGUUCUGGGUUCAAACAAGACCUGAAUCAGGAACAAGGGCUAUUAGCUCAGGUGGUUAGAGCGCACCCCUGAUAAGGGUGAGGUCCCUGGUUCGAGUCCAGAAUGGCCCACCUGCACAGGUGGCAAAAACAAGAGAAGCGAGGAAUCAGCACCUUAUCUUACUUAUAUAGUAAGAGAGAAUGCUGGCUCUGAGUAAAGAGUCCAGAGGAACCUUGAAAACUGCAUAGAGCUAGGUGAAAAAGCCAAAAAAGAAGACCGCAAG
rnacentral:tRNA from 1 species